UACAGAGGUGGCAAGCGUUGUUCGGAAUUACUGGGCGUAAAGGGCGCGUAGGCGGUUCGAUAAGUCCCGUGUGAAAGCCCCCGGCUCAACUGGGGAACUGCACGGGAAACUGACGGACUUGAGUUCGGGAGAGGGGAGCGGAAUUCCGGGUGUAGCGGUGAAAUGCGUAGAUAUCCGGAGGAACACCGGUGGCGAAGGCGGCUUCCUGGACCGACACUGACGCUGAGGAGCGAAAGCCAGGGGAGCAAACGGG
rnacentral:rRNA from 1 species